CGAGCUGCCCAGCGGCUCGGCCGGGCGCUGGGGUACCGCGGCUGCCGGCGGGGAAGCAGGGCCGGCGAGACCGCCCUGAGGGACCCCAGCGAGAGGCGAUGCGGGACAGGGCGAACCGCGCCCGGAGAAAGCCUGCGGGAGAGACCCGGGAAAGCAACGGGUGCCGGGGAGCGCUGAAGAACGAUUGGACUGGUUUAGAUGAAGAUGAAGAUGCGCAUGUCUGGGAAGACAAUUGGGAUGAUGACAACGUCGAAGAUGAUUUCUCCAAUCAGUUAAGCUAUCUUUUUUCUGUACAGAGCUGAACUAGAAAAACAUGGAUACAAGAUGGAAACCUCAUAGUUUUUCCUGAAUAUGAAAUGGUUCAACAUUGAACUGUGGAUAGACUAUAUUGAGAGAAGAAGAAAAGGUGGAAAAUGAGAAGACACUUAGUUCAUUAUCUGCUUGGAUUUAUUAUUAUUUUGUACAAAAAAUAAAGUUUUUAAUCUUA